rnacentral:lncRNA from 1 species
CUACAUAAUGCCUUUCAUACAUACAUACAAGGGAAACUUCCAUAAGACUGCUAGCUGACUUUUCAGGAGAAUCUUUGUAUACCAGAAGGGCAUGGCACCAUUUAAAGUGAUGAGAGGGAAAAACCUACAAUCAAGAAUAUCCUGAAGGGCUUUCAGUUAGAUUUGCUGCAAAGAGCAAAAGUUUUAUAGACAAGCAAAAGCUAAAAGAGUUCAGCAUCACAGAAUCAGCUCUCCAAGAAAUGUUUCCAAGAAUGACUUGUGUAAGUGAAAAAGAAAAAACCACAACUAGAAAUACGAAAAUAAUGAAGUGGCAAAUAUAUAGUAAACAAAGUAGAUCAGUCACUUAUAAAGCUAAUAGGAAUGUUAAAAGACAUAAGUAGUAAAAUCGUCUGUAUCCACAAUAAGGGAUACAUAAAACAAAAAGAUAUGAAAUGUAAUAUUAAAAACAUGAAAUGUGGGAGAGGGAGUAAAAAUGCAGGACUAUUAGGGUUAUUAGAAUGUCUUUAAACUUAAGAUAUCAUCAACUUAAUCUCUCUGUCACACACACACAUUGAACGUCAUGGUAGUUACAAGUAAAAAAAUCUGUAAUAGAUAUACACACACAAAAGAGAAAGGAAUUCAAACUUAACACUAAAGAUAGUCAUCAAAUCAGAAGGGUAGAGAUCAAAAGAAGAAAAGAGGGGCAGAAAAGAACUAUAGAAACAACCUGAAAGAGUUAACAAAAUGGCAGUAAGUACAUACCUAUCAGUAAUUACUUUAAAUAUAAAUGGAAUAAUUGCUCCAAUCAAAAGACAUAGAGUGGCCAAAUAGAUUAAAAACAAAACAACAAAGAUCUAUCUAUCUAUCUAUCUAUCUAUCUAUCUCUUGCCUACAAGAUAACUCACUUUACUUCUGAAGACAUACACAGACUGAAAGUGAGGGGAUGAAGAAAGAUUUUAUGGAAAUGGAAACAACAAAAUCAGUAAACUUUAUUUAUUUAUUUAUUUUUGUCUGUUUUUGCCUUUUUUAGGGCUGCUCCCACCGCAUAUGGAGAUUCACAGGCUAGGGGUCUAAUCAGCGCUGUAGCCACUGGCCUAUGCCAGAGCCACAGCAACACGGGUUCUGAGCUGCAUCUGUGACCUACACCACAGCUCAUGGCAAUGCCGGAUCCUUAAUCCACUGAGCGAGGCCAGAGAUCGAACCUGCAACCUCAUGGUUCCUAGUCGGAUUUGUUAACCACUGCGCCAUGAUGGGAACUCCGCAGACACAAUAGACUUUAAAACAGAGAUUAACAAGAGAUGAGGGGCAUUGUAUAAUGAUAAAGGGAUCAAUCCAGCAAAGAUACAGCACUUGUAAAUAUAUAUGCACCUAACCAAGGAGCACUUAUAUACAUAAAGCAAAUCUUAACAGAUAUAAAGGGAGAAAGUAAUACAGUAAUAGUAGGGGACCUUAAUAUAUCACAUCAAUGGACAGAUCAGACAAGCAGUAAGGAAAAACUGGCCUUAAAUGACACAGCAGAUCAUAUUAAUUCAAUCAAUAUAUAUAUAUAGAAAACAUUCCAUCCCAAAUUAGCAAAAUACACAUUUUGAAAUGCACAUGGAACAUUCUUCAGGAUAGAUCACACUCUAGGUCUUAAUAAAUUUAAAAAGAUGAAAAUCAUAUCAAGCAUCUUUUCCAACAACAAUAUGAGAUUAGAAAUCACCUAUAAGAAAAAAAUUGCAAAUAACACAUGGAGGCUACGUAGUAUGUUACUAAAUAACCAAAGUGUGACUAAAGAAAUCAAAGAGGGAAUUAAAUACCUGGAGGCAAAUGAAAAUGGAAGCACAACCAUACACAAUCUAUGAGAGCAGCAAACACAGUUCUAAGAGGGAAACUUACAGUGAUAAAAGCCUACCUUAGGAAACAAAAUCUCAAACAACCUAACCUUAUGCCUAAAGGAACAAAAAAAGGGGAACAAUACCCAUGGUUAGUAGAAGAAAGAUACAAUAAAGGUCAGCAGAAAUAAAUGAAAUAGAGACCAAAAAACAAUAGAAAUGAUCAGUGAAACUGAAAGCUGGUUCUUUGAAAAGAUAUAAAAUAUUGAUAAACCUUUAGCCAGACUUAUCAUGAAAAAAUAGAGAGGGCCCAAGUAAGUAAAAUCAAUAAUGAAAAAUGAGAAGUAACAACCAACAACACAAAAAUACAAAACAUUAGAGAUUACUGCAGACAAUUAUAUGCCAGUAAAAUGGACAACCUAGAAGAAAUGAAUAAAUUCCUAGAAACACACAAUCUCCCAAGACCGAAUCAGGAAGAAAUACAGAAUUUGAACAGACUGAUUGCUAAUAAUAAAAAUGAGUCUAUAAUCAGUAACUGCCAGCAAACAAAUAUUCAGGACAUCUUCACAGGUGAAUUCUACCAAACAAUUAAAGAAGAGUUAAUGCUUAUUUGUCUCAAGCUAUUCCAUAAAUGUUGAAGAGGAAGGAAUGCUUUUGAACUUAUUCUGUGAGAGCAGCAUCACCUUGAUACUAAAACCAGACAAAGAUACCACAAAAAAAGAAAAUUACAGGCAACUGUAUCUGAUGAAUAGAGAUGCAAAAAUCCUCAACAUAAUAUUAGCAAACUCAAUUUAUCAAUACCUUAAAAAGAUCAUACACCAUGAUCAAGUAAGGUCUAUCUUACAGACUUAAAAAUGGUCCCACACCUGCAUAUCACAGUUUGAUACUCUAUAUUAACGUAUUGCAGAACAAAAAUCAUAGAGUCAUCUCAGUUGAUGCAGAAAAGACUUUUCACAAAAUUCAGUAUCAGUUCAUGAUAAAAAAGCUUAACAAAAUUGGUAUGGAGAGACUGUACCUCAACAUAAGAAAGACUAGGUAUGAGAAACCUGUAGGCAGCAUCAUACUCAACACUGAACAGCUUAAUGUAUUUCCUCUUACAUCAAGAAACAGACAAAGAUGCCCAUUCUUACUACUUUCAUGCAACAUAAUAUUGAAUCAUUGUUGCAUAAAUGCCACAGCAUUCAGACCAAAAAGCAUUCAUGACAAACAAACAAAAGAAUUCAGGCAUCCAAAUUGGAAAGGAAAGAAUAAAACUGUCACCAUUUGCAGAUAACAUGAUAUAUUAUAUAUAGAUUAACCUAAAGAUGCCACCAAAAAACCAAAACUAUUUUAUAUCAGUAAAGUUGCAGGAUAUAAAGUAAAUAUAGGGAAAUAUUAUGUUUUUGUACACUAACAAUUAUCAGAAAGAGAAAUUAAGAAAGUAGUGCCGUUUACAGUCACAUCAAAAAUAAUAAGGAGUUCCUGCUGUGGUGCAGAGAGUUUAAAGUCUGACUACAGCAGCUUGGGUCAUGUUUUUUUUUGAUCCCUGGCCUGGCACAGUGGGUUAAAGCAUCCAGGGUUGCUGCAGCCGUGGCUUGGAUUCAGUCCCUGGCCCAGGAAAUUCCAUAUGCUGUGAGUGCAGCCAU